rnacentral:lncRNA from 1 species
AAUCUAACAACCUAAACAUAAUUAAUUAAAUCUAAACUAACCUUAAGUAUAAUUAACCAACUAAUCCAGGAUUAUUGAGAUUACUCACCAAAUCGCGCACAAAUCGGAUCAAUCCGACGGGGGCGACGCGAGGAACAAUUCUUUCCAAAGCACGGCUCGGGUUCGGGGCCCGGAAACGGCCCAAAGCAGACCUGAAGCCGGCUGGACACCCACACGAUGGGGUUGCAGGAUCGCUGCAAAACAAAGAGAAAGAGAGAGGGAUGGGGGCGGCAAGGGGUCGGGAAAGAUGGGCGGAGCUCCGGGGAGGCUGCACGACGGUCGAUCGGAGCUGGACGGCGGUUCGAUGAUGGCUGAACAGGGGUUGGACAGCGGCGGGGCAGAGGCGGAAGCUUCGCUGGACGGGGGCAGACG